GAUGAACGCUAGCGACAGGCCUAACACAUGCAAGUCGAGGGGCAGCACAUGAGUAGCAAUACGAUGGUGGCGACCGGCGCACGGGUGAGUAACACGUAUGCAACCUGCCCUUCUACUAUGGGAUAACCCGUUGAAAGACCGGACUAAUACCGUAUAAUACAGGGGCUCCGCAUGGAGAUAUUUGUUAAAGAUUUAUUGGUAGAAGAUGGGCAUGCGUAUGAUUAGAUAGUUGGUGAGGUAACGGCUCACCAAGUCAACGAUCAUUAGGGGUUCUGAGAGGAAGGUCCCCCACACUGGUACUGAGACACGGACCAGACUCCUACGGGAGGCAGCAGUGAGGAAUAUUGGUCAAUGGACGAGAGUCUGAACCAGCCAAGUCGCGUGAAGGAAGACGGUUCUAUGAAUUGUAAACUUCUUUUGUGCAGGAAUAAAGUGGGUUACGUGUAACCUUUUGUAUGUACUGUACGAAUAAGGAUCGGCUAACUCCGUG
rnacentral:rRNA from 1 species